CGCCUAGUUCGAGCGUAGCCUUCGUGGUCUCCCUCUGCCUCCGCCACCAGAACAUCAUCACUGGCAGGAACAAUGUCUCUCCUUGAUGGGUUGUACAGGCGAGGUUAGGUGCAUCUCCUUUAUGGACAGCAGCGACUCGGCCGAACUAAUGCAGCGAAUAUAAUGCAAGAUGCAGUACUGAGAAGUCAGAUGGAUCUAAAUUGCCAAGAAGUGAUGAUGCUUGGGUCAGAUGUUGAUGGCAACGUCGAGAAUGUGGCCACUAUUAGAUAAUUAGAAUGUCAUAUUUAAGGUCAACGUUUCAACCAUUGUAGUUGAUUGCAAGGUUGACAA